CAAUUGAACGAAAUGUGCUCCU
rnacentral:piRNA from 1 species